rnacentral:rRNA from 1 species
UACGGAGGGUGCGAGCGUUAUCCGGAAUUACUGGGUUUAAAGGGUGCGUAGGCGGCUUUGUAAGUCAGGAGUGAAAGUUUGCGGCUCAACCGUAAAAUUGCUUCUGAUACUGCAUGGCUAGAAUUAGGAUGAGGUCAGCGGAAUGUGGCAUGUAGCGGUGAAAUGCAUAGAUAUGCCAUAGAACACCAAUUGCGAAGGCGGCUGACUAGACCUGGAUUGACGCUGAGGCACGAAAGCGUGGGGAGCGAACAGG